UGCUGUAAGAACCAAGUUGGUUCCCUGACGUGGAAUUGCGAUGGAUUUUGGAUUUUACUACAACAACAAAAAACACACCAUCUCUUUAACUGGACGUUUUUGGAUUUUCCUGGAGAAAAAAACCCACCAUGUCUUUAAUUGGACGUCUUGGACUAUAGCUGACCUUUUCAAAGAAAAAGAAGAAGAUCUUCAAGCCUACAGAGAUGAAUUGUGGACACGUAGGCCUAAAGCUGGUAUGCCAGUAUGAUGUAGACUUGCUUGGAUGAUGUGCAGGCUCUGAUGGAGGAAGAUGAGGAGGAGAGGAUGAAGGACAGCCGAUAUGCCAAAAUAUGACCAGACUGGCUUGGAUGAUGUGCAGGCUCUGAUGGAGGGAGAUGAGGAGGAGAGGAUGAAGGACAACCGGUA